CUCAUGACGUGGUAGCUGGUUUCUCCCAUAGUGAAUGAUCCAAGAGAAAGCAAAGUGGAAACUGCAAUGUCUUCUGUGAAGAGAUGGGGAGAGCAACGUCUG